rnacentral:rRNA from 1 species
UACGGGGGGGCAAGCGUUGCUCGGAAUUACUGGGCGUAAAGGGCUCGUAGGUGGCCAACUAAGUCAGACGUGAAAUCCCUCGGCUUAACCGGGGAACUGCGUCUGAUACUGGAUGGCUUGAGUUCGGGAGAGGGAUGCGGAAUUCCAGGUGUAGCGGUGAAAUGCGUAGAUAUCUGGAGGAAUACCGGUGGCGAAGGCGGCAUCCUGGACCGGCAUUGACGCUGAUGCGCGACAGCGUGGGGAGCAAACAGG